UAGAUGUGGGUUCGUCUACAGCAUGAGGAUUCUGGGGGACUAAGGCAGAUGAGCUCCUAGAACCGCUAGAGGCGAAGGUGCCAGAAGACAUUUCAAGCAAGAACCCUAAAAAUCUCGAAGAGAUCUGGCGAAAUCAGAUCCGAAAGGUUCAUGGGAGAUCUAACAAGAAGAAUGUAGCAGAAGGAAAAUUGAGGAGAAGGGGCACCUAGAUGGCAAG
rnacentral:lncRNA from 1 species